UACGGGGGGGGCAAGCGUUGUUCGGAAUUACUGGGCGUAAAGGGCUCGUAGGCGGCCAACUAAGUCGGACGUGAAAGCCCUCGGCUUAACCGAGGAACUGCGUCCGAUACUGGAUGGCUUGAGGUUGGGAGAGGGAUGCGGAAUUCCGGGUGUAGCGGUGGAAUGCGUAGAGAUCAGGAGGAACACCUAUGGCGAAGGCAGCUCGCUGGGACGGUACUGACGCUGAGGCGCGAAAGCGUGGGGAGCGAACAGG
rnacentral:rRNA from 1 species